GAUGAACGCUGGCGGCGUGCCUAAUACAUGCAAGUCGAGCGAACGGACGAGAAGCUUGCUUCUCUGAUGUUAGCGGCGGACGGGUGAGUAACACGUGGAUAACCUACCUAUAGGACUGGGAUAACUUCGGGAAACCGGAGCUAAUACCGGAUAAUAUUUUGAACCGCAUGGUUCAAAAGUGAAAGACGGUCUUGCUGUCACUUAUAGAUGGAUCCGCGCUGCAUUAGCUAGUUGGUAAGGUAACGGCUUACCAAGGCAACGAUGCAUAGCCGAGCUGAGAGGGGGAUCGGCCACACUGGAACUGAGACACGGUCCAGACUCCUACGGGAGGCAGCAGUAGGGAAUCUUCCGCAAUGGGCGAAAGCCUGACGGAGCAACGCCGCGUGAGUGAUAAAGGUCUUCGGAUCGUAAAACUCUGUUAUUAGGGAAGAACAUAUGUGUAAGUAACUGUGCACAUCUUGACGGUACCUAAUCAGAAAGCCACGGCUAACUACGUG
rnacentral:rRNA from 1 species